ensembl:lncRNA
AAUGUUCUUAAUUUAACUCUUUUCUACCAUACUCUAUUGUGGGCAUAUCAAAUGAUAUUUCUCAUUAGUCUAAAACAGUCAAAGAAUUGCAGCAUUGUAGGGGUUGGAGGGGACCUCUGGAGACCAUGCGGCUCAUCUCUCCUGCUAAAGCAGGGUCUCUACAGCAGGUUGCACAGCAAAGCAUCCAGACAGCCUUCAUUCAUUUCCUGAUGGCAGAAGAGGAAUAAUUUUUAACUUGAACUACAUCUUCUUUAUUUUAAAUUAUCAGCAGUAAGUUUCAGUGAGAAAGCUACUUUUAAGUCACAUACAUUUGCAAAAAGGUCACAACAGUAGCUGAACAAAGCUCUGCUGUGAACUUUCUCUGAAAGCCCUCAGCCAACUCAUUUCCAAGCAUACAGGCACCGUAAUGGUGGACAUUAGGAAAAUCUGUUGCUAGAGAGCUGUGCAAACUUCAGCAAAUAAACAGAGUGCAUUUUUAAUUACAAACUGAACCACCUUUUUCUAAAGGAACUCAAAACGCAAACAAUUCAAGUUACUCUUUUGCACUCUGCACCAAGCACCCAGCUUGUUGACUUCACAGGAAAUACGCAGCCAUCAUAUUCCCCUCUGAGGCUUCUUCUGACCAGUUCAGGCGUACUAGGAGAGCUCCACCUUUAUAAAUAAUAAAUGAGACUUCACUGUUAAAAGGAUCUUACUUGCUUAGUUGCUUUACAAUGCAAUGCAUCUAUAGAUACAAAAGCUGACAAACUCCAGAGCAGCACUACACCAUAUUGUCAAGUACCUACUUGUGGGAGAGGACCUUUCUGGUUACUGCCGUAUGAGACAACGCAGCACAAAGCCGGAGCAUGCUACAGGCACUGCUGCCUACAGACUCACAGCAGAAAAUGCAGUUUCCUAUUGAUUUCAGUUUCACUUCACGAGGCCUAUUUUUGUUUAACUCCUGCGUCACCAAGUAAAGCAGAUUUCCAGUUGCCAAUCUCCCAGUAAUACAAGUCAGCUUCCGAGGACUGAAAGAGAAGAAAGGAGCCCACAGUCUGCCUCACCGACCUGGUACAGCUGAGCCAGGGCGACUCCAACCGCCUGCAAUUGGCACAGCUCCCUCGUUUGCCACCAUCUGUGCUGCACACCCGCAGCUUCUCAAGGUGAGGGUGGGUGGGAAAAAGAAUGGAGAGUGUCAAAGGCACUGAGACAUGCACAAGUCUGCUUUGCUAACCAAGUAUUUCUGCAUCGUGAAAUGCCAGCAGAGCAAAUCUGACCUCCGUACAAGAGAAACACUUAAGGAAAAGGAGAAAUGACUAGGGGAAACACUGUGUGAUUUAAUGAGGUGAGGGAGAGAGAAAAGAUUUUGAACCACAGACAGAAAGUCUCAUCACUCAACUCUAUAUAUGUGUGCUUUUGUAUAUAUGUAUAUAUAUGUAUAGCUCAGAUGUUAAUGCACAUUUUCAAGAAAAAUAAUUACUCAAAAUCUGCUUGUUAGAUGAAGAUAAAAAAGAACUCCUCCUUGUUUUUCAGAGAUGCUCUAAGAGGAAAACAUGAUGAUUCUACGAUGAGCUGUCGCUGAGCUACAACCCACUCUGUUCUAUUGCUGCUCACUACAGCUGCUUUAACAUUCAGUCAGCUCAGCUGCCUUUUAUAUUCAUCACAUGCAGAAAUUCUCAAAUGUCCCUUAUCACACAAGGCAAUCCCUGUCCUCAUAGUCCAACCCGAUUUGAUCUCUUUUUGCUUUGUUGACAUUUAGGAUUGAUUUGCGAAAUAGAAAAGGAACCCUGCUUCGAAACCAUUUGAAUUCCUACACCACAUACGUUUUUCUCUGCCAUUCCUUUUGGUCUCUAGAAAACCGAGGCUACAUGGUACAGUGCACCAUUUGCAUAUCAAAAGCAACAGCACUUUAUGCAAAAGUGAAAUGCAACCAGUUUUCUGCUUUCAGGAAGAGCUUAAGACAUGAAAAAGCACUUCCUUCCUUCCUCUGAGUCUUUAACUCUAAAUUCAGGUGUAGCUUAGUCUGUCACAAGUGGUUAAGAUAAACAGCUUAUGACUGAAGAAGCUCCUCCACUGCCACUGUUACCUGAUAGAUAUUUGCCAAAAACAGAGAUCAUUUUCCUUCCACACAGAACAGUUAAGAACUUCAUAGUCCUGAAUGAAUUAACAUAAUUAAGAAAACAAUUCAAAUGCUCAGAAAAUCACACAGAACGAAUUUAUCUCAAGUGACCUACAGCUUUUGUGAAUGACACCAAUCCUCCUACUGGGGUGUUUCAAUGUCUUUUUUUCAAGCUGACUACCACGGCCUCAGAUGUAUCACGUUAUUACAGUGUGCAAGAUGACUCUCUGUCCUGAUUUGUGACCAGUCUGUGGCAUCAAUGCCAACAACUUCCCCAUCUAGAAAUACAGCCGGCCAGCCUAGACAGAGCAAUGCGGUGGGAACAGCAGAACAGCUGAUGGAGAAUGCCGGCUGCUCAGCACAGUGCCUGGCUGCUCUUGGUGCAGACAGUGGGUGGUGCUUGAGCUGCCAUCAGCCCUGCCAAAUCCCUCCUCCGUUACUUCCCACCACUAGAAAUGGUGAAGUAUUCCCCAGAUGCUGCCACAAGAGUACACUGAUCAAUUCAGGCAUCACCAGUUUCAUAAAAUAUGUAUGCUUCAGGCGAUUUAAAAGAAAAACAGCUAGCAGACAGCUCCUAUGGUCCAAGAACCACGCUACAUUACAGCAUAUUGGAUCAUAUACUCAUUUGAAUUGUACUCCCCAGUCAAGUUAGUUUAUCAUUUUUGAGUCACCUAAAACCCUCCUUAAACCCUCACAGAUAAUCUGAAAUUUAUCCCCAUACAUCUUCAGUUACAGACAGAUCAUUUACAUAAAUUACACUGGAUCACAAGCAAGAGCCCAGAUUUAAAAUUAGCCGGUCUCAGCAAAAUACCUUCCAUUUUUCAUCUCUUUCUUGCUUACUAAAAAUCUAAAGCACA